UCAUUGGACGAGACGAGACUGGACGAUGCUCAGGAACCACAGGUCCAACGGAACCUGUGGCAGAACCAACUGCCAUGACUCUGGAAGCAACAAAACUGGACUGACUGGAAGCAACAAAAGAGGGUGCCGAAAGCAGCCUCGCACUCCCGCAUCAUCAAAGACACUCAUGGCACAUUGUUCACUGCCCGCAAUACAUGUGGACAUAUUUGGACAGACACAAGGGUGCACGCCGAACGUGGCCUGCCAUGCACACCCUUUGCCCUCGCAUGCACUUACACUGAAACAAUGCAGACACAUUCAAGUUUCAUAAGAGGACCCUUCUUCAACGGAAGAGAAACGCAAGAAGGGAUGUAUGCUGAACGCUGCUUUCCUUGCUCACACACACACCUACAUUGAUUAUGGACUGAUUAUGGACUUUAUAAAAAAAAUAAAAACAAAAAAAAAACGUGUAAAAUUGUU